GAUGAACGCUAGCUACAGGCUUAACACAUGCAAGUCGAGGGGUAACGAGAGGAAAGCUUGCUUUCCUUGUUGACGACCGGCGCACGGGUGAGUAACGCGUAUCCAACCUGCCCCCAACUAGGGAAUAACCUUGCGAAAGUAAGACUAAUACCCUAUAAUUUCCUCAGAUGUCAUCUGACGAGGAAUAAAGAUUUAUCGGUUGUGGAUGGGGAUGCGUCUGAUUAGCGUGUUGGCGGGGUAACGGCCAACCAAGGCAACGAUCAGUAGGGGUUCUGAGAGGAAGGUCCCCCACAUUGGAACUGAGACACGGUCCAAACUCCUACGGGAGGCAGCAGUGAGGAAUAUUGGUCAAUGGGCGGAAGCCUGAACCAGCCAAGUAGUGUGCAGGAUGACGGCCCUAUGGGUUGUAAACUGCUUUUAUACAGGAAUAAAGUUAGCCACGUGUGGUUAUUUGUAGGUACUGUAUGAAUAAGGACCGGCUAAUUCCGUGCCAGCCGCCGCAGUAA
rnacentral:rRNA from 1 species